rnacentral:rRNA from 1 species
UACGUAGGGUGCGAGCGUUAAUCGGAAUUACUGGGCGUAAAGCGUGCGCAGGCGGUUUUGGAAGUCUGUCGUGAAAGCCCCGGGCUCAACCUGGGAAUUGCGAUGGAGACUGCAAGGCUUGAAUCUGGCAGAGGGGGGUAGAAUUCCACGUGUAGCAGUGAAAUGCGUAGAGAUGUGGAGGAACACCGAUGGCGAAGGCAGCCCCCUGGGUCAAGAUUGACGCUCAUGCACGAAAGCGUGGGGAGCAAACAGG